rnacentral:misc_RNA from 1 species
AGCUACAGCCUGGAGGUUGGGGGAAAUGGUAGGAAACUCAUUUGGGAAGGGACCCCACGAAGCAUUAGAGAUAGCCACAGGAAGGUUAGAGAUAGCAAUGAUGGCCUCGUUAUACAAAGAAACAUGGCGCUGUUCUUCUCUGGAGGCGAUAGGAAAGAGUUAAAGCUUCGAGUGACGGGGCGCAUAUGGAAAGAGCAGCAGAACCCAGAAGGUGGGGCAUGCAUACCCAAUCUCUGCAGUUAGGGUGGUUUGCGCUUUAUCUGUCUCUCUCUCUCUAUCUCUCUUUUGUAAUAUUAGCAUAUUCAGAUAUGUUGAGAAUCCAUAUGUAUGAAUUCUGGAGGCAUGAGCUUUAUAAUAAAUUGCCAAUAAACUAUCCAACG